AUUGAACGCUGGCGGCAGGCCUAACACAUGCAAGUCGAGCGGAUGAAGGGAGCUUGCUCCUGGAUUCAGCGGCGGACGGGUGAGUAAUGCCUAGGAAUCUGCCUGGUAGUGGGGGAUAACGUCCGGGAACGGGCGCUAAUACCGCAUACGUCCUGAGGGAGAAAGUGGGGGAUCUUCGGACCUCACGCUAUCAGAUGAGCCUAGGUCGGAUUAGCUAGUUGGUGGGGUAAAGGCCUACCAAGGCGACGAUCCGUAACUGGUCUGAGAGGAUGAUCAGUCACACUGGAACUGAGACACGGUCCAUACUCCUACGGGAGGCAGCAGUGGGGAAUAGUGGACAAUGGGCGAAAGCCUGAUCCAGCCAUGCCGCGUGUGUGAAGAAGGUCUUCGGAUUGUAAAGCACUUUAAGUUGGGAUGAAGGGCAGUAAGUUAAUACCUUGCGGUUUUGACGUUACCGACAGAAUAAGCACCGGCUAACUACGUG
rnacentral:rRNA from 1 species